rnacentral:lncRNA from 1 species
UGUGAGGAUUAAACAAGAGAAUGACAAAUAGCAUCUUGCUUGGCAGAGUACCUGCGGCAUAGUGAGUGAAGACGACUUUGACUUUCCCUUCCAGGGUUGGCGUUUGACACAGGCAAGACCUCUGGGUUGCAGAUCUUACUCCAACCGACCACUAGAUGGCACUAUUUGGAGACGUCUUCAUUCACCACCUAGUCUUACCAUACGUUCUCCCCUCUGCCUUGGAGAUCAGGUUUUCCAAGGUCUCAAGAGCUUGAUGAGCCUCUUUAGAUGGACACUUUCUUUGCAGAUCAUCUCCUGUCCUCGCGCAGAACUACAAGCAGAAAUCCUACAGACAGUUGUGAUAAAGAGAGGCGAUUCUGUCGAAAUGAAGUCCGGCCAGUUGGUGAUUUUGCUCCAGCUGUGAACAGGUUAAAUUAUGCAGCAUAGCACAUUUCAUCCAUCUUUCAUCAGAAAGAACAGACUUGGUGCUCUGAUGCUGUGAUGGAGGCAUAGUGGUUCUGGGGAAGUGGAUCUAUGUACUUGAAAAGUCAAAGGGUUGAGAGGAUAAAGGAACGGUUUUUCUCUUGCUGAAGAGAAGUGAGUUUGGCAUGACUCUUGGACCUCCAGGGGUAUCCCUGCUCCUAGCAAAGGCAGCUUCAGGCUCUGGUAGUCUGCGAACACGAGGAAUUUAGAGGCAGAACCUCAUACUCUGCUGGUGGUUUCUCCUGUCUUCACUCGAGUAGGCAGGUAUGCCGCUCCAGAAACAAAGGGCGUGAUUUGUCGGGUUGGGAGCAUGUUUAACACCUUCAGGUUACUCACAAUGUAAUUAAUUCAUCAAAACGUCUUGAAUGGUUCCUGAAUGAUCCAAUAUUAGUCUCUAAACUGUCAUUGUUGUGUUACACCAUAUUGCAGUAAGAUUAUAAGUAGAUAUAGGUUAAGAUCGUACUUUCUCCUACAUCUGCAGUUCAGUUCAUUGCCUGGUACCUAAUUGGCACACUGAAUAAAUAAAAGAAUGGAUGAACUCA